CAGUCGCCGCGGGAAUACGAAGGGGGCUAGCGUUGUUCGGAUUUACUGGGCGUAAGGGGCGCGUAGGCGGACUGAUAAGUCAGGGGUGAAAUCCCAUGGCUCAACCUUGGAACUGCCUUUGAUACUGUUUGUCUUGAGUUCGAGAGAGGUAAGUGGAACUGCGAGUGUAGAGGUGAAAUUCGUAGAUAUUCGCAAGAACACCAGUGGCGAAGGCGGCUUACUGGCUCGAAACUGACGCUGAGGCGCGAAAGCGUGGGGAGCAAACAGGAUUAGAUACCCGAGUAGUCCCUGUCUCUUAUAC
rnacentral:rRNA from 1 species